rnacentral:rRNA from 1 species
UGUGAACUGCAGGGCACAUAUGCAUAUUCAUUUGCAUUCGAAAGGGGGGCCCUUG